CCAGAGGGUUAAUGGUAAUUAUGACUACUUGUGUCAUUUAUGAUGUUGAUUUGAAUUACUUUCUGGAUGAGUAAGUUUAAGUAUUUAUGGAAAAUUGACCAUUUAAGUGAAAUUAUUGAACUUAAAUAUACAAGCUUGAUAAAAAUUAUCAUUCUAGAAGAAAAUUUCAGAUGGCACUUAGAGGCUUUUGCACAUGAACUCUUCAUGAAUUAAUCAUGUUGAUAGGCCCUAUAAAACAAAUAUUUCAUAUUAAUCAUGUAAAUUUCCUGCACCUGUUAUAGACAUCCAAAUGACGUCCAAAAAAAUUACUCCGUUCAAAGGUCAAAUGUUGAACGUCAAGAUGACGUCCAAGUUGGGUCAUGGUUGGACGUCCAAAUAGUGGACCUAGUUUGGACGUCGAAUAGAUGUUCAGAAAUGGUAAUGGACCGACGGACUACUUAAUACUUUCUCUGACUUAAUGGGUUCUUAUUUAUGCUGCAUUCUUCUAAUUGUUGAGAUGGUAUUGUACAUAAAUCAGAGCCUUAACUUUGGUUUUAUACCAUGAAAAUAAUUGUUCUUUUUUUUUUUUUUUCAGUGUCGAUUGCCAUCUGAUUGUUGUAAGUGAUCAAUCUAACAGCCAUCCUCAAAGCCUGAUUUGCCUAAUAAAUCAAUACAUAUUAAUGUGUACAUGUUUAUUCUUUCUCUCUCUCUCUCUCUCUUUGCUUGUGGGCAGCUAAAAAAAAAAACCAAAGGCUCUUUUAAGAGCCAUUCCACCUCUUAAGUGUCUUUGGCUAUUUUGCUUUUGUGUCAGCAGCAGCGAAACAAACCUCCCAAAGCUCUUUUAAGAGACAUUCAACUGUUAACCAUCUUUAGCUAUCCUCUGCUGUGAUUUAUUUUCUUCCUACCAUCCUUUAAUUUAAGAUAUAUUCAGAAGUGUUUAUCUCCAGGUAACAUGUCCAGUUACUGGAGUAAACGCAGAAAAAUUCAAAGAGGAGUUGAGCAAGAUUUGCAAAAACUCCAGUCAGCAUCUGUAGAAACAGAUGAUGAAAUAACGGAGGAGAGACUUGACUGCCACAACAUAAGCAAUUUUGAGGAAGUGGCUCUUACAACACCAGAGUCCAACAAUAGAGUGGAGUCAGUAUAUGAUUGCACACUAAGCAGUGAGGGAGGAGCUAGUGAGAGCUUUGCUGGGAACACAGAGGACAGCAAUGAUGAAAGCACAGAUGAGGAGGAUAAUAUCAGAGCAUUACUUUCUGAUUGGGCUGUCAGGAAACAAAUUCCACAUUCAUCACUGACUGAACUACUCAAGAUUUUGUGCAACAAAUUACCUGAAUUAGGCCUUCCUAAAGAUUCACGGACUUUGCUGAAAACAAAAUCAGUGGUGGAAAUAAAAGAAGUCUCUGGGGGGGACUUAUUUUCAUGCUGGCAUUGAACACGGUCUGUUGUCCCACCUCACAACAUCAGUUCAUCCAAUGUGUCAGUCAGUGUCCCUGCAAGUCAAUAUAGAUGGCCUUCCUCUAUACAAGAGCUCAAACUCUCAAUUCUGGACUAUUUUAGGCCUUGUAGAAAACUACAAUGAUGGGGUCCAGACAAACAAGUUGCCAUUCUCAUUGGGAUGUUUUUUGGGGAGAAAAAACCAGCCAGUCUUGAUUUCCUACAAGACUUUGUUGAGGAAAUGCAGCAUCUUGAAAAAGAAGGUUUCUUUUUUGAAGACAGAAAUAUUAGGGUCCAGAUCUCUGCCAUUGUUUGUGAUGUACCUGCAAGGGCCUUCAUCAGAAAUUCUAAGGGUCACAAUGGGUACUAUGGAUGUGACAAAUGCUGUCAAAAGGGAGUUUACCACAAUAACCGUAUGAUCUUGCCAGAAACAGCAGUCUAUCUAAGAUCCAACCAUGACCAUUUUGAUUCUCUUUCUGAGGACUCGCACUACAGUGGGAAAACGCCUUUAGAAUCACUGUCCAUUGGUUUGGUGACAUCAUUUCCUCUUGACUACAUGCACCUUGUAUGUUACACGUAAACUCAUCUCUCUAUGGCAGGAAGGGCCACUGAAGACUCGUUUAGGUCCAGCGUUUGUCAGAAAUGUCUCUUCACAACUGACAGAGCUACGACCUCAUGCGCCAUCAGAAAUGAUCAGAAAAACCGAGAUCUGUAAUCGAGUCAGACCGCUGGAAGGCUACUGAAUUUCGUACAUUCCUCUUGUACACUGCACCAGUCUGUUUGAAAGGAAAUAUUCCAAAGGCGAUGUAUGAAAACUUCAUGCUGCUUUCAGUUGCUAUGACCAUCUUUCUAAGUCAAUCCUUGUGUGCAGACUAUGCUGGAAACCUCCUGGUUUUGUUUGUGGACCACUGCAGCAGACUGUAUGGAAAAGAAACCAUGACUUACAACAUGCAUUGCUUGACUCUUUUUAUUCAUGAUGUACAAGCAUUUGGGGUACUUGACAACAUGUCUUGUUUUCCCUUUGAGAAUUUCCUUGGCCAAAUUAAACGAAUGAUGAGAAAACCAAACAAACCUUUAGCACAAGUCAUACGAAGACUGUCAGAAAAAGAGACCAUGUGAACAAUGCAGUCAGAUGCAGAGAAGACACUACAAAGACCACAUGACAACGGCCCAGUCCCAAAUGGUCUAAAUGUGAAAGAGCAGUAUGCAAAAAUGCAGUUCGCUCACUUCUCUGUGCAGAUUUGCACUGGGAAUAACUGUGUCCAGCUGAAAAACACAGAUGUUGUUGUUGUGUAAAACCUGGUGGUCGAGGAACACGGAGAAACCUUAAUCGUGUACAAAAGAUUUAGGAACAAGACAGAUCUUUUUGUCUAUCCCCUACCAUCAUCACAGCUAGACAUUUUCUUGCUCUCUGGAUUGAAGGAUGAACUCCUUUUUACCCAAGCCACAAAUGUGCUACGGAAGUUUGUGUUACUUCCAUGCAAAGAGGACUUUGCUGGCAUGCCAUUACUCCAUUUGUAGGAUGUGAGGCACCUGUAAAAUAAAAAAAAAAUAAGAGUUUAACAAUUUCUGUAAAAAGUUCAAUGUUUGCUGUAGUCAAAUUUCCAAAUGAAGAGGACAGUUUAGCUGUCAUCUCUGAAGCCUGGUGCACCAAGGAGGGAUGCUACUGGCCUCCAUAUAAGACCCAUGAGAGGAUCAAGAGGGCAGUGAUGCUGCAUGAAAAACCAAACAGCGACACAUGGGAGAUACACCCAUUUGAUUUACUAAAAAACGAAAAAUACACAUGACAAGGUCCAUGAAUGCCUGAUUCGGGCCGAAAAGGGCUUCAACAUUGAAACAGAGCCAGAGUCGCAUCAGAGGAAGAGAAAGCGAAAUCCUAAAUUUGACCAGACAGAUUCUGAGGAGUCUGAUGAUGGUGACUAUAGUCAGCUCCCACCACCACCAAAGCCCCCCAAAUUUGCCCCCAAAAGGAUCGUUUGUAAAGCUAAAAAAUUUAUGUGCCAAGUUUACCUGUAAUUUUCAUGAACUGUACAUAUUUACAUUUUGAUAAUUAUCAUUUGCACAAUUUGCAAUAGCAUGCCCAAGAGACAGCUCCCAUCCCUCUGUAUCUCUCUCUGCUGGGGGAGCAGGAUGUAAAGCAGCCUACAGCUCCAAUAAGGCAACAAUACAAAACACCCAGCCCUCUUCUUCAUCACAGAGGUGCCCUGUUUACCAGCCAGAAGAAUCAGAAUCAUCAAGACCAUCUUCCCUAAAUUUUCUGGCUGCAAAUCAAGAAUCAGAAUCAUCAAGACCAUCUUCCCUAAAUUUUCUGGCUGCAAAUCAAGCUCAUACAACCGCUGUAACACCCGCCCCCUGGAGAGCCAGCGAACUUCAGUGUGCAGAAGCAGCUGUUCAUGCCCUGACCCCAUCUCCUGGCAGAGGACCCCAAACAAGCGAGAGUGAUUUGAUUUGAUGAGAUUUAUCAUUUUCAUGGAUUGGUUCAGCACGGAGUCAAAGAGAACCGGCAUUUUUUUAGCAGCUAGUGCUUCGCGAUGGACCAUGCAAUGUGUACAUUUCACAAGUGGAGCUACUUGCUGAACGCGAGCAGCUAGGCCACGCUCACGCCCCGUCAUUGCCUGCGCACCAUCCAUGCAUAGGCCAAUGCAUCGGUCCCAAGCCAAACCAUUUUCACGGAUAAAAAUAUCAAGGACAUUGAAAAUGGCUUCUCCUGUAGUGUGCGACUGAAGAGGCCGGCAAAACAGGACAUCCUCCUCAAUCGCCUUGUCCCGCAGAUACCUGACAUAGGUGAGGAGCUGUGCCUGCCCAGCAAUAUCAGUGGAUUCAUCCAGCUGCAGCGCGUAGUAAGGACUCUUUUUUACGAACUCUAUCAGUUGCUCUCUGAUAUCAUUGGACAUGUCUACAAUUCUCCUACGACUGUGUCAUUGGACAGGGGUAUUGCUCCGAGUUUGGCUGCUGCACUAUCGCCUAUCAUUAUUCUUGCGCUGCUGGCAAAAUGAGAGUCUCUGCGAUUGUAUGCGGUUUACCCAGUUGAGCGAUUCUUUUGGCCACUACAUACAAUGCCUCCAAACACUGUUUAGACACAGUGCUGUGGACUGAAAUGGUUGCCUGUUGCUGAUGGAGGCCAUCAAGCUUUCUUUUAAAAUAUUCAGCCGGUUUAUUUUUAAUGUCAGCAUGCUUUGUUUCGAGGUGCCUUUUUAAUUUGCAGGGCUUCAUACUGUCGUUUGCCAGCACCUCGGCACACAAGACACACUGAGGUCUCAGAUCAGCCAUGACUGUAAACCCAAACUGCAGGUAUACUUCAUCGUACCUUCAAAGCUUUUUUGCUGCUGGUGGUGCGUCGGUUGGCUUGUUGGUCCUCACAAGAAAUUUCUCCAUUUUUGUUAUGUGUUUUCAAUAAAGUUUAGGCAAUAUGUAA